GAUGAACGCUGGCGGCGUGCCUAAUACAUGCAAGUCGAGCGAACAGAUGAGGAGCUUGCUCCUCUGACGUUAGCGGCGGACGGGUGAGUAACACGUGGAUAACCUACCUAUAAGACUGGGAUAACUUCGGGAAACCGGAGCUAAUACCGGAUAAUAUAUUGAACCGCAUGGUUCAAUAGUGAAAGACGGUUUUGCUGUCACUUAUAGAUGGAUCCGCGCCGCAUUAGCUAGUUGGUAAGGUAACGGCUUACCAAGGCAACGAUGCGUAGCCGACCUGAGAGGGGGAUUGGCCACACUGGAACUGAGACACGGUCCAGACUCCUACGGGAGGCAGCAGUAGGGAAUCUUCCGCAAUGGGCGAAAGCCUGACGGAGCAACGCCGCGUGAGUGAUGAAGGUCUUCGGAUCGUAAAACUCUGUUAUUAGGGAAGAACAAAUGUGUAAGUAACUAUGCACGUCUUGACGGUACCUAAUCAGAAAGCCACGGCUAACUACGUG
rnacentral:rRNA from 1 species